UCUGUGAAAUCAACACACAAUCUGUUGUUGUAGGGACGGAGCCUGAGCGGCCUGGGGAUGGUGCUGGGCAUGGGGGAAAAUGGAAAGCCUCCCCAGAAGCUGAUGCAAAAGCAGUCUUCUUGUGAAGUGCAGGGGAGGAGCACAGAGCGUGGCACAGCACCUAAGAGAGUUGACAUCCACUGUUUCUCCAAGACGCUGGCUGGAAGAA